AUGGCAUCAAGGCACUUCUCUUCUUCUUCUCAUGGUUCUAGCUCGUCCUGGACUCCCAAGCAAAACAAGCUAUUUGAAAAGGCGUUGGCUCUAUAUGAUAAGGACACCCCAGACCGCUGGCAAAAUGUGGCCAAGGCUGUAGGUGGUAAAUCUCCUGAAGAAGUAAAGAUACACUAUGAUCGUCUUGUGGAGGAUCUAAUUUACAUAGAAUCUGGCCAAGCCCCACUGCCCACCUACAAGGCCACUGGGAGCAACGGUAGAGGAAUUGAUGAAGAGAAGAGGCUAAUGAAGAAUCUAAGGAUCCAGUGAAGAUAUAUAGACUCCUGCACCACGCUUUAGCCGUGCCGUUUCUGACUCGGGCUUCUAUGUAAUUAAUAGAUCAGUAUAACAGUAAUAAAAAUGAUCGCGACAAACAAAUCAUGCAUAUGCGUGAUUCUGCUCUCCUAAAGCUACCGUAACUGUACUCGAUUUCUGAUAGCAUAAAAUACUCUCGUUCAGUUCUUGGUGAAGAAGCCCCUGGCAUAUAUGAACAGAUAGAGCAGGUUGACAAGCUAGCGCAGGAUACAACUAAAGAAACAGAAGCUUCUACCGAAGUUAAAGACACCCCCAAGCAGGAGGAUUCCAAGAGCUCCACAACAGCAGCUUCUACCGAGACCGCAGACGCCCCCCCGCAGGAGGAUUCCAAGAGCUCCACAUCCACAACAUCAGCUUCUACCGAAACCACAGACGCCCCCACGCAAGAGGAUUCCAAGAGCUCCACAUCCACAACAUCAGCUUCUACCGAAACCACAAGCACCCCCGCGGAGGAGGAUUCCAAGAGCUCCACCACGUCGCAGGAGAAUUCCAAGGGCUCCAGCGGGUCUUGGGGUCAAUGGGUAGUGAAUAAAUUAGAGAACGUAGGAAUAAUUUCAGGGGGGAAAUCAGAGUCAACCGAAUCAGCAUCAUCCGCAGAAGCACCUGCACCAGAUGAAGCAUCUUCUCCCCCAGCUUAGGAUUUGGUCUACAAUAUACAGUUCAUUGCUAUGCCUAUGCUGGGGAAUGCCCCAAUUUAAUAUUUACUUUUUGUGCUGAAGCAAUGGCGUCCCUGAGUAAAUUGCUUUGCUUUAGCACACGUUAUCCUGAAUGAGGUUACAGCCCUCAGUUCUUAUUGUAUUUAUCGUUUUCAUCUUGUUAUUGCUAAUUAAAUAAUACAAUACAAAAUUUUACACAGAAA